CAAAAAUGGAUAACAAAUCACUCAAUCACAAUUUUCAUGACGAAGAGCUUGUGGACUUUGAGAAAUCGAAAUAUCAAGAUCUCAAGAAUGAGGUUAUGAAAAUCAAUAAGUUUGAGAAAGUGGAUGAAUCGACACUUAGCCAAAUAGUUCAGUCAUACGAGAAUGAGGUAC